GAAUGGAUUUUCAGAAUUGCUGGAGCUUUUUUUUAAAGUUAGUCGAAAUUCGAUGCAGCCCAGUAGUCAAUCAUAACUAAAUUAUUUUGCUAUUAAAACAACAAAAAUAAUGUGCCAGUUAAUGUUCUACAUAAUAGAUUUAAAUUAAGAGUUAUUAAAUGUGAUACAACACUGAGUCAAGAAAUGAGUGUUUUGCAAGAAAUGGUGUAUCAUGCUCACUGUGAAUCAUGCAUUAAGAUAUCCAAAUGCACCAAGAAAACUAUUGAAGGUGAAUCCUGUGCAAUUAUAUGUUGCCAAAGAAAAUGUGGUGCUAGUUUUCACAGCUGUAAAGAAAGUGAGCACAUUCUACUCUGCCCUAAUGUUCAAGAACCCUGUAUCAAUGUGAAUUAUGGAUGUCCCCAUGUUCUCUUGAGAAAACAUCGUGGGAGACAUCUUGAACAAUGUCCAGCUAGUUGCUUGCCAUGCAAUGCAGAGUGGAACCGUUGGCCACUGUGCACCAAGGAAAGGCAAAUCCACAUUCCAUUUGUUCAGAUCAAUCCCCAACUCCGAGAAGAGCAGUUAGAUGUGGCCUUGGCACUUCGUGAUCAACGCAUUUUGAACGUAUGGAUGAAUCUUCCUAGAAAAAUUCAGAAACUUAUGCGAUGUAACCUCACACCAAGACAUCCUGCAAUUCCCCUAGUUUUGAGUUUGUGGGAGCCAUCUAUAAAAAAGAAACUCAAAUCCAUUUCCUCUGAGGAUGGUUUGUCCAAUGUGAGCACUCCAAGGCAGUCUGCUGAAAGAAGUGAUAACAGCAUUUUGAGCGUUUCAAGCGCCAUUUCCACCGACGACGAAUCUCCUUGGGGUCGACGCAAAAAACCACCAGGAUUACUUCAAAGCGUUUGCGCCCAGCUUUUCAACAAAAGUACUGGUCACAAACAAAAAACAGCUUCGGUCUCUAAUCAAGAUGAUUAUCCAUAUUCAAAAAAUGAAGUAGUUGAAGAAGACACACUUAGUGAUGUAAGUAACGGACUGGAUGAUAGUAGUAUUAAUGAGCUCGUCGACGCAGCAUUUGCAGAUUCUGGAAACUCGGGACUUUUACCAGCAAACCCCCCAGAAUUACCAUUGCUUACGACUCUUGGCCUUGACUUGUCGAUUGAGUGCAUACCGCGCUACCAGAACAAACCCAAGUCGAUGUAUACGUUUAUCUGCGCUCAAGACUUCCGCCGAGAUGAAUUCGCCUGGCAUUAUCGCAAUUGGCAUAGCGAAAUACAUGGUGGUCUAGACGGAUGGAUGGAGCAAAGGUGCCCUCUAGCCAGAUACGGAUGCUCGUUUGCCCGACGACGUAUGUUUCCAGUUAACCCAGACCAUCGCGUCAUUUACAGUUCAAUCGUUGAAAGUUUUGGGGUUACCAGGACCAAUUCUUCUGCAUUUGAUCAUGUUAGUACUCCUGGUGAGCUCUGUUUAACUGAUCUUCCAUUCGAGGUUCUACGAACAAUAGCCGGUUACUUGGAUGGAUUCAGUAUGUGUCACCUGUCGGUUACGUGCCAACUUCUUCGCGAGGUAGCUCGCUCUCUACUUUACAACCGUGGUCUGGUUACUGCUCAUUGGCAAAAAACCCAGCAAGGAGGUUGGCAUGUUACACAUCAUCGGUGGUCUUUCAGCACUUCUUUCAGCCCUGUAGAACGUUGGGGAUUUGAAAGCGGCUCACAUAUCAGCAACCACCUGAAGGACUGUCGCUACAAUAUUAAAUCUUCUUAUGUCUUUCCUAAUCGCGUUGCCUUACCAGGAUUUACGGAGACCAUCCCUUCCGAUACUCUGAAUUGAUCAACGGUAGAUGUUUCAAAUAUUUAAAAUACGCUAGUUAUUUUCGCCAUCUCCUCGCCUUAGUCCACAUUAUUACUCAUUGGGCGGCAGUUAAAAUUUCAAUAGAUAUUAUAAUUUUGUUCGAAAAAAUAUCGUUGUUCAAUUUUGGAAGAAGGAAGCGAUCAGGUUUAUGUUUAGAAAAUUUACAAUAUCUAUGUGAACCUUGAGAACUAAUUGUGGUUUGUGCGGUAGCCAGGUGAUGUAAGGAAGCCGUAAGAAUUAUACGUUGCUACGGGUUCUUUUGGACGAGCAGUGUAGGAUUCACCGUCAUUUUCAGCUGCCUUUAGAUAUUGGAAUUCCGGUAAAUUUUCGGGUGCAUCAGUAAUAAUUGUGUCUCUUUCUGAUUCUUGCGCUUCUUGUUGGCCACGUUGGCUGCCUCGGUAAACGUAAGGUGAGGUGGACUUGAUUUGAGAAACGAUGAACUCGUUAGACGUUUUUGUAGUUUCCUUUUGUUUAGGAGGAAUUUUUGUCUUUGGUUGAUCAGUUUUUUCUUUGAUGGCAACAGUGCGAACGUUUCCAGUUCCUUUUUCAAGAUCUAAGUUGUAGAAAUGGAAUUUAUGUAAAAUCUCAAGUAACAAAGUAUUUUAUUCCAGAUUAUUUACUCUUCGUUGGGUCCCCAAUUUCGGUAGAUGAUGUGCUAGCGGUGUAUUUGCCAGAUGCUGUGUGAGCAACGGUGGCAUGUUCAAAGUUUCGUUUUAUUUCUUCCGUUUUAAUGAUCUGGUCAUCGGCAAACUUGAACGCUGUUGUAAUAACAUCCACUUGGUUCUUUCCGAUUUCACUUGAAGAGGGGCUGUUUGAUGCCUUGUCCACUGAGAAAGAUUCAUCUAUUCUAGGCAAUCCAUUCUGGCUGGCAAAAGCUGGUUAAAAAUAACGACUUGCUCAUUUUUUCUUUUUUUUUUUUUUAAGUUAUGACAACGUGAUUCACUUGAAAGAUUAUUUGUAAAUUACCAACUGAUAAAUUGUUGAUGUUUGUGCUAAACUGAGGUGGAAACUGAACGACAUCGGACAGGGAAGUGCGAGUAGGUAAAUCAAAUUUAAUGCUGGUUUCUACUGGACUAAUAUCGAAAAGGUCCUUUCUUCCAUUAUCUGCACCUGUGCGUUUGGAGAUAAAUUGAAAUUUCCUCCACUGAUUUUUUUUUUCGCUUCCUGUUGCCUUCCGUCUCGAAUCGUCAUGCUGGUGUCAAGUCGCAUCGUUUUGGAUUUUGCAUGGAAGUAAAGACCUAUCGGAUGUACCUGUCCCAAGUAAUAAAUCGGCAGGCUUGAUUCCAUCGCUUAUUCCACUGCCUCCGAAACUAUCCGAAAACAGGUCGCCUUUGUUGUCCCCAAAGAAAUUUUCCGAAGCCGAAAACUGGCUAAAUCCGGGAGGAACUGCCACUCCAUAAAUUGCUGCAGCCAAACUGCUUGCUUGCGGCCCUGAUCCAUCACCAUUUGGAUAGAUAAGUCCUCCAUUUUGUAAGUACCCCGAGUUUAAUCCUCUGCCAAGUGUUCCGAAGGAAAUCUAAUGUUUGAUCCGGGACAUUUAGAUAAGUAAAAAAAAAAAAAUAUUGUAAUGUUUACCUGUGAAAGUGAUGGUAUAAUGACUAGAAAAAUUGGGAAAAGCACUUGAAACAGACCCCGAUUCAUUGUAAUGGUUUUUUCUUUGGGCAUUGACCGAUUGAAAAGCUAUUACAAGCUACCGCUAGCUAUGAUAAACUGAGCCCAAAAUGAAAUUACGCACUUGCAUUUAUAAUCAUGUCUUAAUUCGCAUGAGUAACUUUGACUGAUGCUUCACUGGACUACUUUUCAUUUUCAAUGUGACUACAAUAGAGUUACGGUGAUGAACCGUUCACUGUUGGACGUUUUAAAUGAUCGGCCCGUCAAGCAGUUUGUAAAAAGCUACAAAUUAGAAGUGGGGCGAUUUCCAAAACUGUCCCAUUUGUCUUAUUAACAAGAUGUGCAAAUCUUCUGAUAAAUUAUAGUAGCUUUCUCAUCUUUGAUCUAAACCGUAACGAAACUUUCUCUUCCCAGAAUGAAGGCGAGCUGAUGAGAAAAACAAAAAUUGUAUUGUGGGACAAAUAAAUCUCCAGAAAAGUAGAAUAGAAGCAAAACUGAUGGUAGGCAUCAAGUAAUCAAACGUCAGUGAGUCGUUUCCUCGAUUAAGAUUCAACAAGCUCGUCGGUCCUAUCAUUAAAUGAAGAUAGAUCUGCAUGGUUAUCUGCAAAAAAUCAAGCGAUCAAAUUUACAGAAUGUACGCAUCGUCAUAAAUAAAAUCAAAUUGAAAUUUGAAGUAAAAAAGGGGGUGCGACUGGCGGGAAGGAUACAAGAUGGGUUCCAACCAAAGGUAUUUAAUAAAUGGCGUGCUACGCCGUAGAACUAGUAGUAAUUACAAGUACGCAGUAGUAUAUUAAAACUGACAAGGUUUCGCAUAAUUGUGAAACCAUAGAUUAACAAUGGCGUUGUUGCAUGUUGUUGAUCUUUCGCUUUCAGACAUCAUCUGAGUAAUAAUUACGCUUAACGAUUUUGACAGUACAACUUUAGGUUGCAGAAAAUCUGCGUACUUUAACUCCUCUAAAGUGAAUUGACGCUUCGUCGAUCUGGACGAUUCUCCUUUUUUAUCCAUGUAGAUAUGUUGUGUCUGCUCUCUCCUUUCCCCUUGUUUUUCCUUUACCAAACCUCUUCUUUUGGAUAGAUUAGUUGGGUACUCUUCAUCUUCUUCAUUGAAGUUGCGUGCAAUUCUCCUUUUUCUUGGAGUGGAGGUCUUCCCACGAAUGGCUAGCUUGGUUCCGCUUUCUCCAUCGACAUCAGAUAUCUUCAUAAUUAUGGUAAGGGAAACGAUGCUAGCUUUUUCUGGGGGUGACAUUUAAAGGUGUGGAAAUGUAAAAAUUCAGAUUUCCGGAACACCUGUAAAAUUCGAUUUAAAAUGGAUUCAUUAUUCAGAACAACAAGAACAAGAUAUUGAUAAAAACACAACCUUUCCACAAUUAUUGCAUGGAAAUGUUCUUCCGUUAGAAUGACUCGUUAUAUGCCUCUUCAAUGUGCCGUUUGACGUAAAUUUCUUAAAAAUAAAAAGUGCAACUGGUAAGCUACAA